CCUACGGGUGGCAGCAGUGGGGAAUAUUGGGCAAUGGGCGCAAGCCUGAACCAGCCAAGCCGCGUGAAGGACGAAGGCCCCCGGCUUGUAAACUUCUUUUAUCAAGGACGAAACAUAUGACGGUACUUGAUGACUAAGCCACGGCUAACUAAGUGCAAGCAGCCGCGGUAAUCCGUCGGUGGCAAGCGUUCUCCGGAUUUACUGGGUGUAAAGGGCGUGUAGGCGGGACUGCAAGUGAGAGGGGCAAACCAUGGGCUCAACCCAUGGCCUGCAUUUUGAAACUGUAGUUCUUGAGUGUUGGAGAGGCAGGCGGAAUGCCGUGUGUAGCGGUGAAAUGCGUAGAUAUACGGAGGUACACCAGUGGCGAAGGCGGCCUGCUGGACAAUAACUGACGCUGAGGCGCGAAAGCGUGGGGAGCAAACAGGAUUAGAUACCCUAGUAGUC
rnacentral:rRNA from 1 species